rnacentral:misc_RNA from 1 species
GAUGAAGAACGCAGCGAAAUGCGAUAAGUAAUGUGAAUUGCAGAAUUCAGUGAAUCAUCGAAUCUUUGAACGCACAUUGCGCCCCUUGGUAUUCCGAGGGGCAUGCCUGUUCGAGCGUCAUUAUAACCCCUCAAGCUCAGCUUGGUGUUGGGGCCUUCUGCACUGGCAGCCCUUAAAAUCAGUGGCGGCGCCAUCUGGCUCUAAGCGUAGUAAUUCUUCUCGCUAUGGAGUCCUGGUGGAUGCUUGCCAUCAACCCCCAAUUUUUCUAUGGUUGACCUCGGAUCAGGUAGGGAUACCCGCUGAACUUAAGCAUAUCAAUAAGCGGAGGA